rnacentral:tRNA from 1 species
GCGCUGGUGCUGGAAUUGGCAGACAGGCAUGGUUGAGGAUCAUGUGCCGCAAGGCGUGCGGGUUCAAGUCCCGCCCAGCGCA